rnacentral:rRNA from 1 species
AUGCAGCGGGUUAGGUCUGGUAAGAGGGCGAUUAAUAUUAAUGGUGAGGUGGGACCCUUCUUUACAUCCUUUGUAGGAGCAAAGCAAGACCCGAUUUUCCCCCUCCUCUUCAACCUCACCAUCAAUGCGCUGGCCAGAAUCCUGGAUAAAGUUAGGAGGGCUGGCCAUCUCUCGGGGGUAGUUGGCCACUUGAUCUCGGGUGGUGUCACUCAUCUGCAAUAUGUUGAUGACACCAUGGUUAUGGUGGAGGGGUCGGACAUGGACAUAGUGAAUCUUAAGUUCCUCCUUUGUUUCGAGGCUAUGUCGGGACUAAAGAUCUACUUUGAUAAGAGUGAGGUCGUUGUCCUUGAAUUCCCGACGAAAGAACAACAGCGGAUCGCAGACAACCUAAACUGUAGGUUGGCCUCAUUUCCCAUCACAUAUUUGGGAAUGCCGAUGGCCGACUCAAAGAUUUUGAUGAGUGCUUUCGACCCGUUGGUCGGGCUUGUGGCCUCUAAGGCCGAGCCAUGGCAUGGGCGGUCUACCUCUCUAAUCUGGUGA